rnacentral:SRP_RNA from 1 species
GCCGGGCAUGGUGAUGCGUGCCUGUAAUCCCAGCUACUCAGGAGGCUGAGGCAGGAGAAUCGCUUGAACCCAGGAGGUGGAGGUGGCAGUGAGCCAAGAUCGUGCCCUUGCACUCCAGCCUAGGUGACAGAGUGAGACCCUGUCUCAG